rnacentral:lncRNA from 1 species
AGCUUUUUCUCCGACUCCAUUUACUGGCUAUUUGUAGAAAGCCAUUAUUUGGUGUAUUUAAAAACAUUAAGAAUAGGGCAAGGCAAGGAAGAGGAAAGAUGUUAGGAUAAAGGAAAAUUUCCCACAGGCAUUACUAAGAAUUCAUUCUGCAGAAGAAGUCCUUCUCAAUUGCUUCUUGCUCAUGGAAAUUUUUUCACCUACCUUGCCAAGGCCUUGAUACUGAUAUCUGGGAGGUAUUAAGCAAUUCAGAAAGUUUAUUCAUCAACUUCGAUUCAUCUUAAUUAAUGAAAAAGCAGAGAAAUUAAAGUUGUGUCCCUCCUCUCUCAAAAGUUCAGGAUUUGUAAUGCUAAUGGCUUGCUCCCCACUUAGAGUAAACACAUUAGUCAAAUUUGAUAUACUGACUCAUAAGUCACACAUUAGGGCCAAACGUGUUCUGUUAUGAGAAAUUAAGACUCCCUCUUGACACAUAACUUGGCUCUGAAUUUGAACCAGAUAAACAACAUCCCUGUUUGCUGCAUUUGGAAAGUAAAUUGAAAUAUAUAGGCAAUGGUGAUGUCUUUAUCUUUCACAGAUAUCACUGGAUUCAGGGCAAGAAGCCUUGUGUUUUGGGGGCUCCUCUUUGAAAUCCAUGCCCUUCCUUAGGGCUUCUGACCCAAUAUGUUUAAAUUUGAGAUUGAGGUAAAUUUGAAUGGCUCUGGCUGUUGCAAGGAAGCAAGAGAAAGGAGUGGAGUUGGCCUUACAGAGGUAGCUCCUGGUUCAGUGUGAGGAGCAGCCUCAUUGCAUGGGAUUGAAUCUGAACUUGAACACCUCAGAGACUGCCCCAGUCUAGCCAUUGGAACCAAAGCAUAAGAGCCAGGACGAAUGCACUACCCGUGAUCUGCAAUCGUAUUAUUUUGGAAGAUUCACCCGGAGCUAACAUCUGUGCCAAUCUUCCUCUACUUUGUAUGUGGGAUGCCUCCACAGCAUGGCUGAUGAGUGGAGCAAGUUCACACUGAGGAUCUGAACUUGCAAACCUGGGCUGCCGAAGUGGAGCAUAAAGAAAUUUAACCAGUCAGCCACGGGGCUGGCCCCCUGGAUUGAGUAUUUUUUAACUUCCAUUUUACUUAUUUCCAUUAUUGGAUUAUUACUUUUACUGCUUUUUAAAAAUGUUUGAUCUCAUGUGCUAGCAUUGGCAGUAUACAUCUCUAAUUACUUGCAUUCUAUCUUCACAUAAUAGGUAGGUUGAAGACUCAUAACAGUAUACUUCCAAUUCCACCUUUCCUGCCUUUGAGCUAUUGUUGCUAUAGAUUUUACUUUUAUAUAGUGUAUAAAGGCAUGAUAAAUUUGUGCUAUUUUUGCUUUAGACAAUUUUCUAUUAGUGUCAUUAAAAAUAAAAAAACUCUUUUGUGUUUACUUUCAUUUUAACCAUUUCUAGAGAUCUUUAAUGCUCUGUAUAAAUCUAAGCUUGUGUCUUAUAUCAUAUUCUUUCUGCCUGAAGAACUUCCUUUUACACUUUAUAGUGCAUGUGUACUGGUAAUGAAUUCUUUCAUCUUUUCUUUGUCUGAAAAAGAUGUUAAUUUGCCUCAUUUUUGAAGGAUAUUUUUGUUGUGUAUAGAAUUCUCAGUUGCAAUUUUUUUCUUUCAACAUGUCUUCUUAUUCUCAUACUUUCUGAUGAGAAAUCUGUUGUCAGUUUUACCUUCAUUCCUCUAUAUGUAAUGUGCCCUUUUUCUCUGGUUGUUUUUAAUAUUUUCUUUCUCUCUCUCUUUUUUUUUUUUUUUUUCUUUUCACUGCCUUGUAUAUAUGUCUAUUUUUUUUUAAUUAUUUAUCCUGCUUGGGAAUCUCUGAGCUUCUGGAAUAUGUGCAUUUGAUGUGCUUCAUUAUUUUUGGAAAAUCGUUAACCAUCAUCCUUCAAAUAUUUAUUCUGUCUAUUCUCUCUCUUAACUUCUUCUAGAUUUCAGUUGGUGUAUGUUAGACCAUUUGAUAUCAUCUUAUAGCCCUUGGAUGCUCUCAUCUGUUUCAUUCAGUCUCUGUCUCUUUGUAUUUCAGUUUAGGUAAUUUCUAUUGACCUAUCAUUAAGGUUGCAGAUUGUUUUAUUUAGCUGUAUCAUGUCUAUUAAAGUAAAAGUUGAGGGCAUUCUUCUUUUGUUUCUGUGUAUUUGUUUCUAGCAUUGUCAUUUGACCCUUUCUUAUAGUUUUCAUAUCUCCACUGAAAUUCAAUAUCUGUUCAUGCAUGUUGACCUCCGAUCCUGCUAGAGCCUUUCACAUGUUUGUUAUAGUGAUUUUAAAUUUACUAUAUGGUGGCUCAACAUAUGGGUCAUCUCUGGAUCUAUCAGUUGCUUUUUCUCUCGUCAGUAGGUUGUUUUGUUCUUGCUUUUUUGUAUUUUUCAUUGAAUAGUGAGUAUCAUGUGUAGAACAGUAGAGAGUGAGAUAACUACUAUUUCUGCUUGGAAAUGGGUCUACCUGUCUUCUGCUAGGCUGUUAUUGUGGGGUGUUAGGUCAGUCUAUUCAGAAGUGAGCAGGGUUUGGGUUUUGCUGUUGCUGUGGGUUCAUUCACUAUAUCCCCGGCUUCAAAUUCCUCUAGCAUUACCUCCUGUUUGGGGUGGGGUCUUGUUUGCCAUUGGUUUUUUUUGUUGUUGUUGUUAAGGAAGAUUGGCCCUGAGCUACCAUCUCUUCCCUAUCUUCCUCUUUUUGCUUGAGGAAGAUUGUCCCUAAGCUAACAUCUGUGCCAGUCUUCCUCUAUUUUAGGAGUGGGAUGCUGCCACAGCAUGGCUUGAUGAAUGGUGUGUAGGUCUACACUCAGGAUCUGAACCUGUGAACACCAGGCCACCAAAGUGGAGCAUGUAAACUUAACCACUACACUACCAGGCUUGCCUUUGCCAUUGGAUUUUCUUAAUGUUUCUGCUCCAUCUUGAGCAACAGACCUUCCCU